rnacentral:rRNA from 1 species
UGGUUAAGUUAGAAAGGGCGCACGGUGGAUGCCUUGACACUAGGAGUCGAUGAAGGACGGGACUAACGCCGAUAUGCUUCGGGGAGCUGUAAGUAAGCUUUGAUCCGAAGAUUUCCGAAUGGGGAAACCCACCAUACGUAAUGGUAUGGUAUCCUUAUCUGAAUACAUAGGGUAAGGAAGACAGACCCAGGGAACUGAAACAUCUAAGUACCUGGAGGAAGAGAAAGCAAAUGCGAUUUCCUGAGUAGCGGCGAGCGAAACGGAACAUAGCCCAAACCAAGAGGCUUGCCUCUUGGGGUUGUAGGACAUUCUAUACGGAGUUACAAAGGAACGAGGUAGACGAAGCGACCUGGAAAGGUCCGUCGUAGAGGGUAACAACCCCGUAGUCGAAACUUCGUUCUCUCUUGAAUGUAUCCUGAGUACGGCGGAACACGUGAAAUUCCGUCGGAAUCUGGGAGGACCAUCUCCCAAGGCUAAAUACUCCCUAGUGAUCGAUAGUGAACCAGUACCGUGAGGGAAAGGUGAAAAGCACCCCGGAAGGGGAGUGAAAGAGAUCCUGAAACCGUGUGCCUACAAAUAGUCAGAGCCCGUUAACGGGUGAUGGCGUGCCUUUUGUAGAAUGAACCGGCGAGUUACGAUCCCGUGCGAGGUUAAGCUGAAGAGGCGGAGCCGCAGCGAAAGCGAGUCUGAAUAGGGCGUUUAGUACGUGGUCGUAGACCCGAAACCAGGUGAUCUACCCAUGUCCAGGGUGAAGUUCAGGUAACACUGAAUGGAGGCCCGAACCCACGCACGUUGAAAAGUGCGGGGAUGAGGUGUGGGUAGCGGAGAAAUUCCAAUCGAACCUGGAGAUAGCUGGUUCUCCCCGAAAUAGCUUUAGGGCUAGCCUUAAGUGUAAGAGUCUUGGAGGUAGAGCACUGAUUGGACUAGGGGUCCUCAUCGGAUUACCGAAUUCAGUCAAACUCCGAAUGCCAAUGACUUAUCCUUAGGAGUCAGACUGCGAGUGAUAAGAUCCGUAGUCAAAAGGGAAACAGCCCAGACCGCCAGCUAAGGUCCCAAAGUGUGUAUUAAGUGGAAAAGGAUGUGGAGUUGCUUAGACAACUAGGAUGUUGGCUUAGAAGCAGCCACCAUUUAAAGAGUGCGUAAUAGCUCACUAGUCGAGUGACUCUGCGCCGAAAAUGUACCGGGGCUAAAUACACCACCGAAGCUGCGGAUUGAUACCAAUGGUAUCAGUGGUAGGGGAGCGUUCUAAGGACAGUGAAGUCAGACCGUAAGGACUGGUGGAGUGCUUAGAAGUGAGAAUGCCGGUAUGAGUAGCGAAAGACGGGUGAGAAUCCCGUCCACCGAAUGCCUAAGGUUUCCUGAGGAAGGCUCGUCCGCUCAGGGUUAGUCAGGACCUAAGCCGAGGCCGACAGGCGUAGGCGAUGGACAACAGGUUGAUAUUCCUGUACCACCUCUUUAUCGUUUGAGCAAUGGAGGGACGCAGAAGGAUAGAAGAAGCGUGCGAUUGGUUGUGCACGUCCAAGCAGUUAGGCUGAUAAGUAGGCAAAUCCGCUUAUCGUAAAGGCUGAGCUGUGAUGGGGAAGCUCCUUAUGGAGCGAAGUCUUUGAUUCCCCGCUGCCAAGAAAAGCUUCUAGCGAGAUAAAAGGUGCCUGUACCGCAAACCGACACAGGUAGGCGAGGAGAGAAUCCUAAGGUGUGCGAGAGAACUCUGGUUAAGGAACUCGGCAAAAUGACCCCGUAACUUCGGGAGAAGGGGUGCUUUCUUAACGGAAAGCCGCAGUGAAUAGGCCCAAGCGACUGUUUAGCAAAAACACAGCUCUCUGCGAAGCCGUAAGGCGAAGUAUAGGGGGUGACACCUGCCCGGUGCUGGAAGGUUAAGGAGAGGGGUUAGCGUAAGCGAAGCUCUGAACUGAAGCCCCAGUAAACGGCGGCCGUAACUAUAACGGUCCUAAGGUAGCGAAAUUCCUUGUCGGGUAAGUUCCGACCCGCACGAAAGGUGUAACGAUUUGGGCACUGUCUCAACCAGAGACUCGGUGAAAUUAUAGUACCUGUGAAGAUGCAGGUUACCCGCGACAGGACGGAAAGACCCCGUGGAGCUUUACUGUAGCCUGAUAUUGAAUUUUGGUACAGUUUGUACAGGAUAGGCGGGAGCCAUUGAAACCGGAGCGCUAGCUUCGGUGGAGGCGCUGGUGGGAUACCGCCCUGACUGUAUUGAAAUUCUAACCUACGGGUCUUAUCGACCCGGGAGACAGUGUCAGGUGGGCAGUUUGACUGGGGCGGUCGCCUCCUAAAGUGUAACGGAGGCGCCCAAAGGUUCCCUCAGAAUGGUUGGAAAUCAUUCGUAGAGUGCAAAGGCAUAAGGGAGCUUGACUGCGAGACCUACAAGUCGAGCAGGGACGAAAGUCGGGCUUAGUGAUCCGGUGGUUCCGCAUGGAAGGGCCAUCGCUCAACGGAUAAAAGCUACCCCGGGGAUAACAGGCUUAUCUCCCCCAAGAGUCCACAUCGACGGGGAGGUUUGGCACCUCGAUGUCGGCUCAUCGCAUCCUGGGGCUGUAGUCGGUCCCAAGGGUUGGGCUGUUCGCCCAUUAAAGCGGUACGCGAGCUGGGUUCAGAACGUCGUGAGACAGUUCGGUCCCUAUCCGUCGUGGGCGUAGGAAAUUUGAGAGGAGCUGUCCUUAGUACGAGAGGACCGGGAUGGACGCACCGCUGGUGUACCAGUUGUUCUGCCAAGGGCAUAGCUGGGUAGCUAUGUGCGGAAGGGAUAAGUGCUGAAAGCAUCUAAGCAUGAAGCCCCCCUCAAGAUGAGAUUUCCCAUAGCGUAAGCUAGUAAGAUCCCUGAAAGAUGAUCAGGUUGAUAGGUUCGAGGUGGAAGCAUGGUGACAUGUGGAGCUGACGAAUACUAAUAGAUCGAGGACUUAACCAU